rnacentral:misc_RNA from 1 species
CAGCUGCACACCUGGUGAAUAAAGCCAGUCUGUCCAGGCGGAGGCAAGCUGUUGUGGCUGCGACACAAACACUGCGCCAUCACAUACACAUACCAUCUCUCCACCAUCCUCUGUCCAGACGACCAGACCAAAUUAAAAGGAGAAGCAAACAGAGAUCUGGCAAUCUGGGUGGGGGUGGGCGGCGAGAGAGCAGGAGAAGACCAUUGCCCCUUGAAGGCGGGCUCCAGAGCGAGCUUCUCCGCCCUCUCUGUUUGCCUUGCCUGCUUGCCUCUACUCGUCCGGCCCAGCCAUGGCCACCAUCCUGGAGACCAUCCAGAAGGCGAGGCUCCUGCCGCCCAGGCCGCCUCAAGGACGAGCUGCCAACCUUCGGCGGCGGCGGCAGAGAGGAGAGCCACCCUCACGGGCCUGCGGAAGCGGCUGUCCGCCUUCUCCGGCAAGAUCCAGCCCAUCUCCUCCGCGUCGGCCGAGUGGGCGUUUCCGCCGGCGCUCCCGGCCGGCGCCCCUCCCUCUCCGCGGGAGGCGGCUCCCUGAGGCAAGUGGUGGCGGCGGGGCGUCGUCGGCUGGCUUCUGUCCCGGAAGCCGGGGUUCGCGGGCGACCUCGAGAUGAACGAGGACGAGGGCCGCCACGGCGGCAGGGGCACCUGGGGCUGGGGCCACGUCCUUUACAGGGUGCGCUCCGGCGUCCGCCGCCUCGUCGUGUCCGCGCACUCGCUCCCCACCACGCAGAGUCAGUCCCUGCCGCCGCCGGCGCACUGCAAGCCGGCGGCGCUCGCCCACGCGCAGAGGCUGGGCUUCCACCACGCCGGCCACGCCAUGGCGCACUAAGGAGGGUCGCCGGUCGCGCCGCGCCGCGCUGCGCUUGCCGGUGCUGUUUGCGGCCGAUCUCCCUCCAGAUUCGGAAACGGAGAAGCGGGCGAGAGGCACGAGAAGAGGAGGAUUCAGGUUGCAGGUAGGUGCGUGAGAUCGGUGGCGAAGAAAUCGCUGUACCGUUAUAAGUGAAAACUAGCUCGGUGAAUCGAUGGUGAAUGGAAUGGAAUGGAAGGUUUACCAUCCUGUGCUGUAGAGGUCAACUGGUCAAGUGUUGUAUCAUAUGCUCG